AACUCUUGUGAUCACAGAAGCAACUUUUAGCUACUGGACAAUGAAGUUGCUCUUUUGUUUUGCUUUGCGCAUGAUACCAGCUUUAUGGAAACACAUGUUCCUUCCCUUCCAAGCGCUAUGGUCUGAUCUUGAUGGCACUGUAAGAGGCUCGUGAGGAGGGUGAGAGAGACUUUCACAAUAAUGGUCAGGCAAAUAUCCGCACCAGAAUCCACAGCUAUGAUUUUGUUUCCAUCAGAGGAAGAUGCCCUCCUGUCAUGGUUUUUGGAAUUUGCUUUUCUGCUUGCCCAUGAUCUACCAAGCUAUACCUUCCAUGAUCAGUCAUGCUUGUAUAUAAAGUUGUUGUUCUGUUCACUCAGGGGUCACACCAUAUCAGAUUUCACAGUAAAGGGGCCACCAUAAAGCAAGAAGAGUGCAGUUCUUGCUUGAUAUAACACAGUGAAUUCCGAGGAAUUAACUUAAUUCUAGAGCAUGGACAGCAGCAGCGGCACCUCAAGCAAUUCCUUCUCAGGAAAAAAUCUUUCUGGGCUGGAAGCACUGCAGAAGCAGCAUGAGGAGAAAACCAGAAAGGUUGAAGAGCUGAAGAGUCAAAUCGUUUCAGUGAAGCUUGAUCUGGAGAAGAAAAGGAAGGAUGCUUUAGAGGAUAAAAAAGAAGUUUUCAAGAGCUUGAGUGACAAAUACAACAGCCUGAGAGAGGAAUACAAUGCUCUGGCUGAAAGGUCCAGUGAAUAGUCCACAGAGCUGUUUCAAUAUUGCAUGCUUUUAUCAUCCCGUUUUAUGCAGCUACCUGGAAACCUACGCAUUAGAUUGUAAGAUUUGCUUCCUCUUCUGCAUAACUUUAACUGUUUCUAUAAAAUUCUCCACAUUACUGGGAGACAUUUAGAGCUA